rnacentral:snRNA from 1 species
GUACUCAUUUCAGCAGCAUAUACACUAAAAUUGGAACCAUACAGAAAAGUUUAACACAGUCCCUAAAUGAGAAUGACAUACAAACUCUUGGAAUGUUUCAUUAUUUU